UACGUAGAGCGCAAGCGUUAUCCGGAAUUAUUGGGCGUAAAGAGCUCGUAGGCGGUGUGUCGCGUCGGCCGUGAAAACCUGGGGCUUAACUCUGGGCGUGCGGUCGAUACGGGCAUCACUAGAGUUCGGCAGGGGAGACUGGAAUUCCUGGUGUAGCGGUGAAAUGCGCAGAUAUCAGGAGGAACACCGAUGGCGAAGGCGGGUCUCUGGGCCGAUACUGACGCUGAGGAGCGAAAGCAUGGGUAGCGAACAGG
rnacentral:rRNA from 1 species